rnacentral:rRNA from 1 species
AUUGAACGCUGGCGGCAGGCCUAACACAUGCAAGUCGAACGAGUGGCGGACGGGUGAGUAAUGUCUGGGAAACUGCCCGAUGGAGGGGGAUAACUACUGGAAACGGUAGCUAAUACCGCAUACCAUCGGAUGUGCCCAGAUGGGCUUAGCUAGUAGGUGGGGUAAAGGCUCACCUAGGCGACGACCCCUAGCUGGUCUGAGAGGAUGACCAGCCACACUGGAACUGGGACACGGGCCAGACUCCUACGAGAGGCAGCAGUGGGGAAUAUUGCACAAUGGGCGCAAGCCUGAUGCAGCCAUGCCGCGUGUAUGAAGAAGGCCUUCGGGUUGUAAAGUACGUUCAGCGGGGGGGCGUUACCCGCAGAAGAAGCACCGGCUAACUCCGUGCCAGCAGCCGCGGUAAUUC